UGCAACCCAGAUGGCUGCCGAAGCAUCACGCGUUGCAUCCUCAGUGCCUCUAGGGGCCUUUGCAGAUAUCCUGGGUGCAGGAUUUCGCCGUGGGGCCACCAUCAACCUACCUUUCCGUGAUGAGGAGAUGGAAGAGUUUCCUGAAGAAUUUACAGCACCCUUUAACCCCUUCCCAGCCAAACCAGUCCUGUCCCAGGCUAUGAUAAAUGCCAUGUACGCUACGAGUCCUGAA
rnacentral:lncRNA from 1 species